GAUGAACGCUGACAGAAUGCUUAACACAUGCAAGUCAACUUGAACUUCGGUUUGGGUGGCGGACGGGUGAGUAACGCGUAAAGAACUUGCCUCACAGAUAGGGACAACAUUUGGAAACGAAUGCUAAUACCUGAUAUUAUGAUUUUAGGGCAUCCUAGGAUUAUGAAAGCUAUAUGCACUGUGAGAGAGCUUUGCGUCCCAUUAGCUAGUUGGAGAGGUAACGGCUCACCAAGGCGAUGAUGGGUAGCCGGCCUGAGAGGGUGAUCGGCCACAAGGGGACUGAGACACGGCCCUUACUCCUACGGGAGGCAGCAGUGGGGAAUAUUGGACAAUGGACCAAGAGUCUGAUCCAGCAAUUCUGUGUGCACGAUGAAGUUUUUCGGAAUGUAAAGUGCCUUCAGUUGGGAAGAAAAAAAUGACGGUACCAACAGAAGAAGUGACGGCUAAAUACGUGCCAGCAGCCGCGGUAAUACGUAUGUCACAAGCGUUAUCCGGAUUUAUUGGGCGUAAAGCGCGUCUAGGUGGUUAUGUAAGUCUGAUGUGAAAAUGCAGGGCUCAACUCUGUAUUGCGUUGGAAACUGUGUAACUAGAGUACUGGAGAGGUAAGCGGAACUACAAGUGUAGAGGUGAAAUUCGUAGAUAUUUGUAGGAAUGCCGAUGGGGAAGCCAGCUUACUGGACAGAUACUGACGCUGAAGCGCGAAAGCGUGGGUAGCAAACAGG
rnacentral:rRNA from 1 species